UACGUAGGGGGCUAGCGUUGUCCGGAAUCAUUGGGCGUAAAGAGCGUGUAGGCGGUCCGGUAAGUCCGCUGUGAAAGUCGGGGGCUCAACCCUCGAAUGCCGGUGGAUACUGUCGGGCUAGAGUGCGGAAGAGGCGAGUGGAAGUUCCGCGUGUAGCAGUGGAAAUGACGUAGAGAUGCGGAGGAACACCGAUGGCGAAGGCAGCCCCCUGGGCCAAUACUGGACGCUAC
rnacentral:rRNA from 1 species